GGGUUUGUGGCUCAGUGGUAGAGCAUCUGUUUUGUAUACAGAAGGUCACAGGAUUAAUCCAUGGCAUUUCCA
rnacentral:tRNA from 1 species